UCACAUUUCCAAGCAGGUAUGUAGAAAUGGAAAGGAAAACCAAAUGAAGUCAUAAAAGUCCAGAACAUUGCUGGAAAAUCCUGGCCUUUGACUGGAAUAAAAAUGACAUUCUACUGUGUUAAAGACAGAUGGUCUAGGCCUCUUCAAUCCAUGCAAUCUAUCUAAAUAUAUCUUUAUUCUCAGUGUCUAU